GACGAACGCUGGCGGCGUGCUUAACACAUGCAAGUCGAACGGAAAGGCCCUGCUUUUGUGGGGUGCUCGAUUGGCGAACGGGUGAGUAACACGUGAGUAACCUGCCCUUGACUUUGGGAUAACUUCAGGAAACUGGGGCUCAUACCGGAUAGGAUCUCCUGCUGCAUGGUGGGGGUUGGAAAGUUUCGGCGGUUGGGGAUGGACUCGCGGCUUAUCCGCUUGUUGGUGGGGUAGUGGCUUACCAAGGCUUUGACGGGUAGCCGGCCUGAGAGGGUGACCGGCGACAUUGGGACUGAGAUACGGCCCAGACGCGUACGGGAGGCAGCAGUGGGGAAUAUUGCACAAUGGGCGGAAGCCUGAUGCAGCAACGCCGCGUGCGGGAUGACGGCCUUCGGGUGGUAAACCGCUUUCGCCGGUGACGAAGCGUGAGUGACGGUAAUGGGUAAAGAAGCACCGGCUAACUACGUG
rnacentral:rRNA from 1 species